rnacentral:rRNA from 1 species
GAUGAACGCUGGCGGCGUGCCUAACACAUGCAAGUCGAGCGAACAGACGAGGAGUUUGCUUCUCUGACGUUAGCGGCGGACGGGUGAGUAACACGAGGAUAACCUACCUAUAAGACUGGGAUAACUUCGGGAAACCGGAGCUAAUACCGGAUAAUAUAUUGAACCGCAUGGUUCAAUAGUGAAAGACGGUUUUGCUGUCACUUAUAGAUGGAUCCGCGCCGCAUUAGCUAGUUGGUAAGGUAACGGCUUACCAAGGCAACGAUGCGUAGCCGACCUGAGAGGGUGAUCGGCCACACUGGAACUGAGACACGGUCCAGACUCCUACGGGAGGCAGCAGUAGGGAAUCUUCCGCAAUGGGCGAAAGCCUGACGGAGCAACGCCGCGUGAGUGAUGAAGGUCUUCGGAUCGUAAAACUCUGUUAUUAGGGAAGAACAAAUGUGUAAGUAACUAUGCACGUCUUGACGGAACCUAAUCAGAAAGCCACGGCUAACUACGUG